rnacentral:rRNA from 1 species
UACGUAGGGUGCAAGCGUUAAUCGGAAUUACUGGGCGUAAAGCGUGCGCAGGCGGCUUUGCAAGACAGAUGUGAAAUCCCCGGGCUUAACCUGGGAACUGCAUUUGUGACUGCAUGGCUAGAGUGCGGCAGAGGGGGAUGGAAUUCCGCGUGUAGCAGUGAAAUGCGUAGAUAUGCGGAGGAACACCGGAUGGCGAAGGCAAUCCCCUGGGCCUCGC